UCCAUCAAAUCUCUCCUCCUCCAUGAAAGAAUGCAAAACAGUAAGAUAUUUAUAGAAUUGUGUGAGAAAGUUUGUUACAAGAAUACAAACAUCAGAAGGCUUAGCAGAAUCUUAAAAAAUCAGCGCGACAAGGAAGGAUGGCCCUGUGGCAUAUUCUGAGGUCAUAUUCUGGUGCUGCUGCAGGCUCCCCAAAUGAGCUUCUCUGCAUCACUGUUUUGUGCUGGGGAUGUUAAGGUCUGCUUCUGGAGUCCCACCAAGCACUGAAAUAACCUAUCCCACUGCAGAUCCUAGCCUGUGAUAAACAGAGGUCAUCUUUUGCCUGAAAGUUUAGUAUUUCUACCCAAUUAACACCAUGCACCCUCUCUUGACUUCGGUAACUCUCAGCAUUCCUGCUACCCAUCCAAAUUUCAGCCCUAUCAAAACCCACCACACUGUCGGCCUUUGCUGUCUCCAGAGGCAAUGAGAUCCUUAGCCUGGAACCGCCUCAUACAAAAAAAAAACUUCCUCUGAUCUGAAUUUACCACCUUCUAAUUUCAUUGAAUGCCCCUUUGUUCCAGUAAUCUGCCCCACUAAUCUAUUUUCUCUAGACUAUUUAUUGUUUUCCUUCCCCUCUUAAAACCUAAAGUUAUGUUAUGGAAGGAGAAAAACAUAAAGAACAGAAAAGAACGAAAAAAGCUUCCCAGGAAAUUGUUCUGAUAAAAAUUGGUCAUAUUUUAUGGAGUGGCCUUGCUGCUCUCCACAGCUGUUGCAAACAAACCUAGUAUGAUGUUGGGCUGCUGGGACAGAGGCACAGGUGUGGUGCACUGGCAUGGGAAGGGCAGAAGCCAGGAAGCAGAGAAAUGGAGGCACUGUGCUCAUGGGCACCAGCACCAGCAACAUCCCCAACACUGCCAGCUUCACAGCUGGGAAUUUGUUUAGAUUUAAGGCCAAGAUAUGCAAACCCUGAGGCAUUUCACCAUUGCAGCUCCCACCCAGACACAGCUCCCAGAGAGGGGAAGGUCCCUCACUGUCCAAGCAUGCUCUGAUUCUCACUGUGCUCUAUCUGUGCUUUCAUCAACUCAAUGGAAAACGACAAUAAUAUCCCUUGGAUGAGUAAAAGCCCCUCACCAGGGAGCACUUUCCUAAAGAGAAUUCCAACACCAGCUGGGAAGCAGCCAGCUGCUCGAGGUGUCUGCAAGGCUGCUGUGGCUCCUGCCCUGUGCAGCUCUGGGGAUGUGCUUUACAGUGCAGCCACUGCAAAAUGUGAAGCAGAAGACCCUGAGCCCUCUCUGCAGACACAGUUCCAUCCUGCAUCCUUUAUGCUUUCAGCUGCAUUCUUAAAGCAGGUUCUGAUUUGUCUCCGAUGCACUGCCCAGCGGCUGUGCAGGUUCUGCUGGGAAGGUUUGAGAAGCCCACAGAAGCUGAGUGACAUGGGACCAGAUUUAAUAUUGGUGUAAGCUAAGUGGUCCCGCUGGUCCCCUGCUGGGCAUUUACAGUCCAGGAGGAUGAAUGAACACUAGGUGCUCAGCCUUGGCAGCAGACAUUUGCUCCUGGGUUGCCUUUUGUCUUCUGCCUUCCUUUUAACCAGUUGAACAACAAAGACUCCAGUUCUGCCGUGCAGCUUCUAGAGUCAUUUCCCAAGAGACCCUUUCGAGCAACUCAAGCAGCUGCAUCCUUCCAUCACCCAGAGGCUCUCAAAUGCCUGAGUAAGAAGAAGACCUGAUACCAUAGGGGCUUAUUAUUCCCUUUGGAACAACCCAGCUCUUGUGCCCAGUCUAGGGCCACAAAGUACUGGGAUGACGCAGUAAUCAUAGCCUCUCCGACUGCUUCACCCAGCAAACCACCAAGCAGCUCUUGCAGAGGAAGACUGGUGCACAAGAGGCAGAAGCAGCAGCUUAUCACCCAUCCCUGGCUAAAACAAAGAGCAGGGCUGGCUCUUCUUCAGGGCUCAAACACAGAAACUUCAGCUCACCCUUCACUCCCUGGCACAAGUGGAGACCAGCUUUGGCUCCUUAUCCAGGCUGACACCAUUUAGUCCUUCCAAAGGUUCUAAGCAGGUCUGAAGGGUUCAGAGCAAAGCAUUCAGUGAACAAGCAUGGUACAACGACCCUGUUCAGGGUUUUUUUGUGGCUGCACCCAUGAAUUGGAGGAUGGAGUUCUACAGGACACAUACAACAUAAAGACCAGGAGCUGACAGAAAUCAAACUUGACUGAAUUGAGGAGUACCAUUCCUAAACCACAAUACCACCUCAAAAGCUUCCCAGAGAUUUCUUUUCCAGGUGAUUGUUUUUCAACUUGUUUGGACGCCAUUGCAGAAUUUGCCAGAGCAUCUUAAAGCAGAGAAGAACAGCUUGAAACGUUUUGUUUAGCACAGUUAUUCCUUCUCAGUGACUGACAGCAUAUACAGCAUUUUCAAGAAGCUGAUCUAUGUCAAACCUUCAUGUCACCCUUGUGUCCCAGUCUGGCAUGAGCUUAUUCCGUGCAAUUUGUGUAAGGCUCCCUGCUAUUCAGCCAUACCACUAGCAGGGACUGGUUCCAGUCCCAUAUGCAAAUGAAACAAACAAAAAAAAAUUACGCACAAAAUUUCACUUGGGACAGGUCUGAAGAGAGAAUCUUGGUCAGGUAUUUAUUUCUUGGCACUGAUAAGUGCCAAGGCUUUUAAUUUCCUUAUGGGGUGAAGACUGAAAGCAGAACUUCCGACACCAAUGGGAUUAGACAUAAAUAAAUUCACUCUAACAAAAUCAGCCUGGGACGUCCUAUAUCCCAAACUGAUUUUUCAUCUUUCUUUCUCAGUUUAUCAUCUUCAAGAGGUAGAUAUUCAGCAUGCAGGUGAUGCACUAAUCAAAAGCUUCUGUGACAGUACAGGCACAACCAACUGGAAAACCCCACAUGUCCCAGCACAGUGCAAAAGACAGCAACAGAUUUACUGGAGUUUCAAAACCAAAAUAAGUAAUAUUAUUUUCCAGAGAAGGCCAGCAGCCAGCCCUCAACAGAAGGGUCACAGCAAAAGCUAAAGCAGGCUGCAGCUGGUCACUGGCACACACAAGGCUGCUCUCUCCAGUUCCACUGGAUACGCCACCUGGCACCAUCCAACAUGUGGAGGCCUCUCUUACCAGGCUGUAGAGAUGUGUACACAUUGGAGCAGUGGGAGGCUGCUGGGUCAGCUUGUCACCUCUGUGCACAGUAUCCCCCCAGGUGCCACUGGGACACCUCAAAGGUACAUAGCCCUUUGAUACAGUAUAGCCCAUCAGGCACCAGGGGCUGGCAUUUUCAAGAGCGGACCCCAUUUAUGACCGGACACUCUCCAGAAAUCUGCCUGACAUACUGGGGUAAAACAGAGCCCUAGGAGGAACAGUGAGGUUUCUAUGCUCCCAGCAGAACUUGACCUUAUCCAGUAGAAACCCAUUUUUCACUGGGCUUUGGCAAACAAAAAACCCAAACUAUUUUCCAUUUAAAUUAAUUAUGAUAGUUGUUUUUCUCCCUUUCGUUUCUUUGGCCUCACCACACAUUAAGGUGAGCAGAGAGUCCCAAUGCAACCCCAACACCCCCUUCCCAUCUGGCUGCACUAUACCCUGAAUGGCUACAUGGGCAAAUGGACUAAGAGCCACUGUAGCUCUAGGAAAGAUGUUCAACUUCCAGAAAUGGAGACUGGGCACUCUAAGGCACUAAGAGAUGCACAAUGAGAUGCACAGAGACACUAAGAGAUGUACAACAAUGAGGGACUUAAAGUGCAGCAGGAAGCACUGAGGCUGGACAUUUAGAAGAAACUUCCUUUAAGGUACCUUACACCAGGUCAUUUACCAGUCAUUAAAUUCAAUGAGGAAAGGAGAAAGAAAACUAAGCCAAGAAAAAUAAUGGAAAGAAAAAAGACAAAAAAAAACCCCAAAAUCCCAACAACAAAUCAAUCAGCUUUUAAAGCUUCAAAUGCUAAGUAUCACAACUUCAUAUAGGGCUGGGACACUGUGUACCUUCCUGCUUUAUUUCACUGAUGCCAGGAGACUUUUAGUCCAGAGGAUGUACCAGAAGUAAUGCCUCAAUUUUUUUAGUGGAAACUUGCCAGGAAAGAAAACAGAAAAAUCCAUGCAUGCAUCUAUAAUAGGUUGUGGUGAGUAUGAAACAAGAAUAGCAAGUCAGGGAACCUUCAUAUUUUGCAGGAAUGGAACUUCCAUUCCCUUCCACAAGUUAAACAUGCUAUCCCAAAAAGAUUUUCUCAUGGGAAAAAGUAAGCAAUCAGGAAUGGAAACAAACUGGUUAGAACUGAUUAUGUUGCUAACUCUGAGAAGACUUCAGACAUUUGUUUGGGGCAACCUUGGGGAAUGUGACAAAACAAAGUAUUUGAGUAUAAAUGCAAAGCACACCAUUAUGAAACCAAGGUUGAUUUCUUAGACAUUCAACAGUAAACAUAUAUGCAUGCAAAUAUACACAUAGACACAUACACCACAAACACCUGACUACAUUAUGGGUUUAAGAUGGAUAGAAAAACAUCCAUAUUAAAUUACCCAAUUUAAAAAGUAAAAGAGGAUAGAAGGAAUUGGAUUACUUUUCAAAACCACAUUUAUGUUGUAUGAUUUUUUUUGUGGUAAAUUUCAAGAUUUUGCAAUUUUUGGGAGAACAUGCAGAGUGAACAUUGAUUCUCUACAAAUAAACAUAAACCCUAAAUAAAACCAAAAGCAUUAUAUGAAGUCUAUUUUAAAUAAUGGACAAUCAAAUUUUAUUUUUUAAAAAGGAUAAAUGAAGUUGGUGUAAGCGUGGUUGCUUUUAGACUCACCUGCAGGCAUGCAUCCACCAAAUUUACAAGUUUUAAAUGGCUUUUAAAUCCAGCUCCAAAUCCACUUCAAUAGCUCCACCCAGAUGAACAGAUAAAAUACACUGACCUCUCCUUUAAUUAUCAGGGGAGCUAUUAAAUAGCAUCUGUGGGAGGCCCCUUCAGAACAGGCAUGCAAGACACAUGUACUCUAUCCAAACAUACUCCAUUUAAAAAGGGCAAACAAUCCCAGGGGGAUGGGGGAGGGCAGGAACUAUCUAAUAGUUAUUAGUUAUAGUUUAUUUUCUUCAAAUGGAGCUGGUAUCAAAUGUCUUUCUGGACAUAGAAAGUUCAGUGGGGUAGGAACAGCUAUUCUAGCAUUGAAGGAAGGUCGGCAGAGCACAAGACAAGCAUUGGUGUUCCAAGGCUCUUGUAAGGAUGCUAAACUUGACAGGGUUUAUUAGGAAAAUGCAUUUUUACUAUAGAGAUGCUAGCAGAGGUCUUAAUAAUGAUUAAACACAUUAAAUGAAGGACUCCCUUUUUGAUCAGCAAGGUGACUUCUCUACUGCUUGGAGCUGUGUUAUCAGGAAUCUUUUUUAUAAUAAACAGCAGAAAAAGACAGAAUUUUUACUUUUAGGGUUUAGAGGUUCUUUAUGGGGGGAGGGAGGACAAGAGGCAAUAGGCAGCAACUGAUGCACAGAAGUUCUCCCUGAAUAUGAAGAACUUUAGUGUGCAGGUGACCAUGCACUGGAACAGACUGCCCAGAGAGGCUGUGGAGUCUCCUUCACUGAGGAUAUUCAUGAACCAUCUGGACACAAUCCUGUGCCCUGUGCUGACCCUGCUUGAGCAGGGAGGUUGGACCAGAUGAUCCACUGUGGCCCCUUCCAGCCUGACCCACUCUGUGAUUUCCAGAAGUCGAUGUGAUGAGCUGUGGCCCAUGGGGGAGAGCGGCAUUCCUCAGGCCAGGUUAUUGUUGAAUACUGGGAAUUGAUGCUAUUCCACAACCAGGGCUCAUUCUCAGUCCAUGUGCACAGAAACACCUGGAGAACAUGGAAGCACCCAGCACCUUGCCUUCAUUGACAGUCCCAUCCCAUGCAGCUCCAGCCUUAACACACACCCUCUACACACCUAAGCCUUGGUCAUUUCCUUUCCCCGUCCAACCAUUCCUGUUCUCUGGUCAUGAUGAGUAAGCAGAUUUGUUACAGAAAAGGCCCAGUGUGUGAAACCCUUAUUGAGUUUACCAAUUUCUUCAGAUAAAAUGCAAAGAAUUACUAGUAGCAGUGACAUUCUAAGUUGAGAUUAUUAACAUUAACACAAUGAAGAUUAUGUAAAAUAUAGUAUUUUACAUAAUAAAAUACAUUCUCUUCCAGCUGAAGGCUGAUACACAUGUAGGCUUUAUGCCUGCAUCACGUUUUUGAAUCUCCUGCCCCAAAAAAAACCAGACUUUGCAUGUGUAGUCCUCAGCCCUGCAGCUACCUAGCACAGGUAAUUUCUUAUGGAUCUUAAAAGACAAACAGGCAAUUUAAGGUGCUAGGAUAGACCAGAAAUGAACACCCUGUGGGAGCCCUUUUUGAAACUUUUGCCAUUUGUAGAGGAAAGAUUUGUAAAUCUCUUGUCUUCUCACAGAGCAGAAGAGUGAUGCGUUUGGAAGGCUGUUUUUUCCCCUCAGGAUGCAGAAGCAGAUCUUUCUCAGGUUUUCUUGGAUGAAAAUGUACCCAUCACAGACCUUAAGCAACCCAGAAAUUUCUGCUUUUAACAACUGUCAUUCUCGUACAUAGUCCUCUGCAAGAACUACUGGAACAAAAAAUGCUGUAAAAAAAAGUUUUUGGUAUUAUACUCUGAGAUAUGACAUGGAUUGACUUGAGUAAACUCUCAUACUUUUAAACAUUUUCCCCUAUUUCCAUACAUCCCUUGGAAAAAAAAAAAGUUAAGCCUGUAAAUGUCUUCUUUUUUUCUUCCCUUCUUACCAAAUAUCAAUUAAUGCAAAACCAGCACAUUUAUCUAGAUCAUAAGGGUUGCAAAGCUGAGUCUGAUAUCUGAUGGUUCUGCUCUCUCACACAUAUCCUCUAGUUAACUGCAUAUAUUUCAGAAUUCAGAGGUAGGAUUAAAAAAGACAGUCAUGAAUAUUAACUAUGAGAUCCUGCUAACAAUAGUCAAAAUUAAAUGCUGAAACAGAAAACAAAAAAAAAUCACAAACAAAUGUUACACCUUAAGAAAGUUGGAUUAAUUAGAAGUUUAUACUUUUGUUUUCUUCUACUAGAGUUAAAAAAUUAACAAUUGUUCAAGUACACAAUUUAAAAAACAGUGGCUUAUGAUUGACACAUUUUCAGUCAAUUUUCUAAAUAUCUUAACAAAAUUAAACACAAUUCCUUCAGUUACAGCAAAUCAUACGAAGUCAACAGUCAUCCGAAGACAUUUACAGUGCAAUAUUUCUAAGUCAUGCUCUCAGCUUCACAAAAUGGCCACACAAUUGAUUUAAGUGUCAUCUGUGAAGCAUGUUGCACCCCCACGCAGACCAGUUUUAGGAUUCCAGCCAUAUUCUGCUAAGAGGCUUAACAGGAGUAAAUCAGGAGUUUAGAUCUAUGGCCUCUCACAAACAGGGAUGCAGAUGGCAGUUUCUUCUUGCAAAGACAGCCCCAUUUCCAAAUCAGCCCAAUCAACAGCAGCCUAAUGAGGGGCAAUGGAAUCUAUACCACAUCGUCUGUGUUAUGUAAAUGAUGAUGGGCUGCUAGAACAACAGUGGAAAAAAUACGUUUGGCCUGAAGCAAAAAAAUCAGCCCUUUUUCCUUCCGUUUCUGUGACUUAAUGAAGAGAUACACUCUUAACUAAUUGCUUUGGCAGGCCAGCAGGCUGCCUGUGCUUAAUGAUACCAUCAGGAAUCCCAGAAGUUUUCAGCUUCUAACACUAAGAACUUCCAACAUGUGCUUUUUAAGAGUGAACCUCGGAAUUCUUUUUCUUUUUAAAAGAUGCUUUUUCUCUUACUUCUUCCCACUAGCUGCUGCAUCAGGUAUAACAAUACAAAAAUAUGCAACAUGCACUUUAAACUGGGCACUUGUCUGUCCCAGGAAAACUUAAUACUUACAGAGCACUCCUGCUGACAAAAUGGCAUUCAGAGCAACUCUGAGUUCACAAAUAAUAAAAAACUACCUCCCCGACAUGACAGCUUCAGGCUUGCCACAUACAUCCACCUGAACUUUCUUAAAGCUCAAAGGCUCUUCAUUUUACAGGUCUGAGUUGUGAACAUGCACCAAAAUUCCCUUUUCAUACUUACAACAGAAAAUGAAGAAUCUAAACAUCAGAUAGGAUCAUAUUUGUCCUUCUUCACACUUAAUUUGAUUCCUCUUUUAGGCUAGGGCAACACUCUUUUCAAAUUUAGUAAUCCAGAAAAAAGAAACAAGCAGACAAGCAUUUGAAAGAUUGCUGGUUUUUGUCCUGGGAGGCAACUU